rnacentral:sRNA from 1 species
AGAGUGAAUCCAAAAGUCUGCUUCACUGAGAUGCUACCUUGCCAGGACAAGAACCAAGAACUCUAACUGUCCCAGGAAUCUUGUGAAUUUUCACCCAUAAUGGUCUUUCACUUGUCAUUCUACUUUCUAUAUUGUUAUCAGUCCAGGAAACAGAUCAUGAAUUUGUGACUUAGUUCUGCCCUUUGGAGAACAAAAGAAAGUAGUCUUCCAUCAAAUCACCUUAAAAUGCACGGCUAAACUAUUCAGAGUUAACACUCCAGAAUUGUUAAAUUACAAGUACUAUGCUUUAACGCUUCUUUCAUCUUACUAGUAUGGCCUAUAAAAAAAAUAAUACCACUUGAUGGGUGAAGGCUUUGGCAAUAGAAAGAAGAAUAGAAUUCAGGUUUUAUGUUAUUCCUUUGUGUUCACUUCGCCUUGCUCUUGAAAGUGCAGUAUUUUUCUACAUCAUGUCAAGAAUGAUUAAAUGUAAAUAUUUUUUCAUUUUAUCAUGUAUAUCCUAUACACACAUCUCCUUCAUCAUCAUAUAUGAAGUUUAUUUUGAGAAGUCUACAUUGCUUACAUUUUAAUUGAGCCAGCAAAGAAGGCUUAAUGAUUUAUUGAACCAUAAUGUCAAUAAAAACACAACUUUUGAGG